rnacentral:rRNA from 1 species
UACAGAGGUCUCAAGCGUUGUUCGGAUUUAUUGGGCGUAAAGGGCGCGUAGGCGGCGGGGUAAGUCGGGUGUGAAAUCUCAGGGCUCAACCCUGAAACUGCACUUGAUACUGCUCUGCUUGAGGACUGGAGAGGAGACUGGAAUUCACGGUGUAGCAGUGAAAUGCGUAGAUAUCGUGAGGAAGACCAGUGGCGAAGGCGGGUCUCUGGACAGUUCUGACGCUGAGGCGCGAAGGCCAGGGGGAGCAAACGGG